UAUAGAGGUGGCAAGCGUUGUUCGGAUUUAUUGGGCGUAAAGGGUCCGUAGGCGGCUUGGAAAGUCGGAUGUGAAAUCCCACAGCUCAACUGUGGAACUGCAUUCGAAACUUCCAGGCUAGAGUGUGAGAGGGGUGAAGGGAAUUCCCGGUGUAAGGGUGAAAUCUGCAGAGAUCGGGAGGAACACCAGUCGCGAAGGCGCUUCACUGGCUCACUACUGACGCUCAGGGACGAAAGCUAGGGUAGCAAACGGG
rnacentral:rRNA from 1 species